rnacentral:rRNA from 1 species
GAGCGGCGCACGGGUGCGGAACACGUGUGCAACCUGCCUUUAUCUGGGGGAUAGCCUUUCGAAAGGAAGAUUAAUACCCCAUAAUAUAUUGAGUGGCAUCACUUGAUAUUGAAAACUCCGGUGGAUAGAGAUGGGCACGCGCAAGAUUAGAUAGUUGGUGAGGUAACGGCUCACCAAGUCAAUGAUCUUUAGGGGGCCUGAGAGGGUGAUCCCCCACACUGGUACUGAGACACGGACCAGACUCCUACGGGGGGCAGCAGUGAGGAAUAUUGGACAAUGGGUGAGAGCCUGAUCCAGCCAUCCCGCGUGAAGGACGACUGCCCUAUGGGUUGUAAACUUCUUUUAUACUGGGAUAAACCUACCCUUCGUGAGGGUAGCUGAAGGUACAGUAUGAAUAAGCACCGGCUAACUCCGUGCCAGCAGCCGCGGUAAUACGGAGGGUGCAAGCGUUAUCCGGAUUUAUUGGGUUUAAAGGGUCCGUAGGCGGACUCGUAAGUCAGUGGUGAAAUCUCAUAGCUUAACUAUGAAACUGCCAUUGAUACUGCGGGUCUUGAGUAAAGUAGAAGUGGCUGGAAUAAGUAGUGUAGCGGUGAAAUGCAUAGAUAUUACUUAGAACACCAAUUGCGAAGGCAGGUCACUAUGUUUUAACUGACGCUGAUGGACGAAAGCGUGGGGAGCGAACAGGAUUAGAUACCCUGGUAGUCCACGCCGUAAACGAUGCUAACUCGUUUUUGGGUUUUCGGAUUCAGAGACUAAGCGAAAGUGAUAAGUUAGCCACCUGGGGAGUACGUUCGCAAGAAUGAAACUCAAAGGAAUUGACGGGGGCCCGCACAAGCGGUGGAUUAUGUGGUUUAAUUCGAUGAUACGCGAGGAACCUUACCAAGGCUUAAAUGGGAAUUGACAGGUUUAGAAAUAGAUCCUUCUUCGGACAAUUUUCAAGGUGCUGCAUGGUUGUCGUCAGCUCGUGCCGUGAGGUGUUAGGUUAAGUCCUGCAACGAGCGCAACCCCUGUCACUAGUUGCCAUCAUUCAGUUGGGGACUCUAGUGAGACUGCCUACGCAAGUAGAGAGGAAGGUGGGGAUGACGUCAAAUCAUCACGGCCCUUACGCCUUGGGCCACACACGUAAUACAAUGGCCGGUACAGAGGGCAGCUACUAUGCGAAUAGAUGCGAAUCUCGAAAGCCGGUCUCAG